GACGAACGCUGGCGGCGUGCUUAACACAUGCAAGUCGAACGGAAAGGCCCCUUUGGGGGUACUCGAGUGGCGAACGGGUGAGUAACACGUGAGUAACCUGCCCUUGACUUCGGGAUAACUUCAGGAAACUGGGGCUAAUACCGGAUAGGAAUCCUUGCUGCAUGGUGGGGGUUGGAAAGCUUCGGCGGUUUUGGAUGGACUCGCGGCUUAUCAGCUUGUUGGUGGGGUAGUGGCCUACCAAGGCUUUGACGGGUAGCCGGCCUGAGAGGGCGACCGGCCACAUUGGGACUGAGAUACGGCCCAGACUCCUACGGGAGGCAGCAGUGGGGAAUAUUGCACAAUGGGCGGAAGCCUGAUGCAGCAACGCCGCGUGCGGGAUGACGGCCUUCGGGUUGUAAACCGCUUUCAGCAGGGGCGAAGCUUGUGGUGACGGUACCUGCAGAAGAAGCACCGGCUAACUACGU
rnacentral:rRNA from 1 species